GACGAACGCUGGCGGCGUGCUUAACACAUGCAAGUCGAACGGAAAGGCCUGCUUUCCCUUCUGGUUUGCGGGUACUCGAGUGGCGAACGGGUGAGUAACACGUGAGUCAUUUGCCCUCAACUUGGGUAUAAGCACGGGAAACUGGGUCUAAUUACCGAUAGUACUGCAGGGUGGUGUCUUGAGUGGAAAAUGUUUUUCUAGUGGUUGGGGAUGAGCUCGCGGCCUAUCAGCUUGUUGGUGGGGCAAUGGCCUACCAAGGCGGCGAGGGGUAGCCCGCGUGGGAGCGUGGACGGCGACACUGAGACAGGGUCACGGCUCCGACUCGUACGAGAGGCAGGAGUUGGGCAUAAAGGACGAUGGGCGGGAGCGUGAUGCGGCGAGGCCGCGUGGGGGAUGGCGGCCUUCGGAAUGUAAACUAUUUUCGAACGCGAGGAAGCCACCUGGUUGGAAGAGUAGUGACGGUAGCGGUACAGAAAGCAACGGCUAACUACGUG
rnacentral:rRNA from 1 species